AUGUCUGCUUCUUCCUCACAAAAGAGCAGGAUAUCUAAACCUACCUCAAAAAUGUUGUCCUUCUGGCAAGAUAAACUAGAUUCCUUGAAACCUAAAUAUCAGAAGUCAUGGCAGAGAAUUUUAGAUAUGAGUCAAGCAAGCCAUCGCUUCAGGCAGCAGAAAGAAAUAUUAGAUUGUAAGGAAAGAUUACAACAUCAAUACUGUGAAUGGAUAACAUAUUCAGAUAAUAUAAUCUCUUUGCUUGAGCAUAUGAAAACUUCAGAAUCUUUAAUAAAUAAGGAAGAAAUGUUGUCAGAGAGAGAGAGAAGGGAACUAGAAUUUGAUACUAUCAUGAAUGAUUUAUCUAACAAAAUAUCAGAAGGUCAGGCAGAAGAAGAUCCUGCCUCCCUUAUGGAAACUGUUGAUGAAGAACAAGUGCAACACAUGUUUAGUAAAGACACAGAUACAAAGUCAAACAGGUCUGUGUGUACAUUAGCAGGCAAAUCAAGAUCAUCUCACACAUCCCAUAGAACAGAAAGAACAAGAGGGACUUCUGUUCAUAGUGGUUCUUCUGGCCAAUCCCUUAGUCUGGUCAUAAAGGCUAGGGCCGAGGCAGCUGCCGCAGUAAAACAAAUAGAGUUUCUUAAGAAAAGACAGAAAAUUGUUGCAGAGAAGGCAGAACUGGAUGCCGCAGCUGCCGCCAAGCAAGCAGGUAUGGAUGCAGAAAAUAAGGCCCGUCAAGUUAAAACUGAAGCUGCUCUAGCAACGUUAGCACAGGUUGCAAAGGCUGAGGUGUUACAAGUAAAGGCCUCAGUCCUAGAGCAAGGUCUCUUAGGAAAUACAUUCCCUCCAGAUGUUACAACAGAAGAUCCUGUCACAAAAGUGGAUUCUUAUUUAAAUACCCAAAUUAUCAAUAUUGCAGCCCCUCCUGUGCUAACAAGAGAAAGUGCAGUAGCAAAUAAUUCUUUUGUAUCACAACCAGAAAUUAUAGAGGUUUCUGCACCCAAAGAACAUUAUUUGCCGUAUGCAGAAGUAGCAAGUCAAGCAGCAGUUCCAUUGCAUGAUAUAUCUCAAACCAAGUUAGAGCACAGUUUUCCAGUAGACACACAGGACUCAAUACAGUCAAACUACACAAUGCCAACAACUGCAUUCAGUCUCAAUCCCAAAGCAGCUAGUUGGGUUCCAGAAAACCCCCAGAUCCAAACUAACUCUGAACCAACUUUGCAACAGUCCUCAGUCCCACUUGAUAUUUUAAAUUACACCUCCUACAGAAACCCAAGAAGGGACUUAGCAGACAGAGGCAUUCAGAAAUUCUCUGAUAAGCCAGAGGAUUAUAUGUUGUGGAAGAAUACAUUUCAGUCAGCUCUCAAGCAACUAAAAUUGCCUGUAGAGGAAGAGUUAAAUUUAUUGAUCGCUUGGUUGGGACCUGCUUCUUCCAUACAGGUGAAGAGAAUUUAUGCAGCAAACAUAAAUAACCCACAUGCAGCCUUAAAUCGAGUGUGGGACCGUCUCAAUGAACGUUAUGGAUCAUCUGCACAGAUAGAAACGUUGCUUCUGCAAAAGCUUAAAUCGUUUCCUGCAUUUACAAAAGGGGAAUAUGAGAAAUUAUGGGAUUAUGCAGAUUUGCUUGAAGAAUUGGAGGCAGCUAAGGGAAAUCCAGAUUUACCAGGGCUUGCAUGUUUAGAUCAAUAUUUAACACAACAAGAGAUUAUUGAUAAACUGCCUUUCUCACUGAAGGAGGUAUGGGGCCGGGAAGUUUUCUCUUAUAAAGAAACUCAUCAACGGAAAUACCCACCAUUUACACAUUUAGUGAAGUUUCUCUUAAGAUCAGCUAGAGAGAAGAAUGAUUUGCAAACGGGGUUCCCUCUUUUAUAUCAAAGUAAUAAAAAGGAUAAGAAACAUUUCAUAGAAACCAAAAGCAAACCACAAGUCACAGUUAGAAAAACUGAAACCAAGGUCAAAUCAGUUGAACAUCACACAAAGACAUCAGCAGGAGUAAUAUGUCCAGUACACCAAAUAGCACAUGAUCUGAAUAACUGCAAAGAAUUCAGGAGCAAACCUUAUGAAGAGCGUUUAACCUUUGCCAGAGAUCAAAGACUUUGUUUUAAAUGUGGUACUUUCAGAAACCACAUAGCCAAGGAGUGCAGGAGAAAAGUGAAAUGUCAAGAAUGCUUUAGUGAAAAACAUUGCUCUGCACUACACCGCGAAACAACACCUCAUCAGAAAGGAAAGAACUCUGAAAAGUCAGAAUGUAUUCUUGUGGAAACACCACAACCUAAGGAGAUUAAGAUAGCAACAUCAACUUGCACAGCUUUGUGUGGAGAAGCAGGAAAAGAACGAACAUGUCAUCCUAUUUGCUUGGUAGAUGUCUACCCUGAAAACUCUCCAGAUCAAGUUAAACGCAUGUACGUUGCCUUAGAUUCUCAAAGUGACACCUCCCUAGCAACACCUGAAUUCUUUAACAUCUUUCAAAUUCAAUCAAAAGAGGUAGAAUACGUUAUGACUACUUGUGGUGGAGAUCAGGUCAUGGUGGGGAGAGUAGCAUCUGGAUUCAUCCUCCGGACUAUUGAUGGCAUGAAACAAUUUAGGUUACCAACGUUCAUAGAAUGCCAAAAUAUACCUAAAGAUGAAAGACAAAUCCCUACAAGAGAAAUAGCUAUGAGUCAUGCACACCUAAGAUCCAUGGCACAUAAGUUACCAAGAUUCGACCCUGGCGCAAAGAUUCUUUUGCUUAUUGGUAUAGACUGUCCAGACUUGUUUUCAGUUAAAAAGCAAAUAAAAGGUCGACCAGGAGCACCAAUAGCUCAAGAACUAGAGAUAGGCUGGACUAUCCUAGGUCCAGUAUGUUUAAACCGCAAAAGGUUGCCUUCUCAUGCUCGAACCUUUUGCACAGGCUUCAUGCCAAGUGGACGUCUUCUCUUAUAG
rnacentral:lncRNA from 1 species